GCUUGUCUCAAAGAUUAAGCCAUGCAUGUCUAAGUAUAGUACCUUAUACUGCGAAACUGCGAAUGGCUCAUUAAAUCAGUUAUAAUUCAUUUGAUGGUACUUACUACUCGGAUAACCGUAGUAAUUCUAGAGCUAAUACAUGCGCCAAGUCCCGUCUUACGUCGGGAUGUAUUUAUUAGAUUUCAAUCAACACUUUUUGCUGACUCAUGAUAACUUAGCGGAUCGCAGAGGCCUCGCGCCGGCGACAAAUCAUUCAAGUUUCUGCCCUAUCAGCUUUCGAUGGUAGUGUAUUGGACUACCAUGGCAUUCACGGGUAACGGAGGAUUAGGGUUCGAUUCCGGAGAGGGAGCCUGAGAAAUGGCUACCACAUCCAAGGAAGGCAGCAGG
rnacentral:rRNA from 1 species